GAUGAACGCUGGCGGCGUGCCUAAUACAUGCAAGUCGAGCGAACAGACGAGGAGCUUGCUCCUCUGACGUUAGCGGCGGACGGGUGAGUAACACGUGGAUAACCUACCUAUAAGACUGGGAUAACUUCGGGAAACCGGAGCUAAUACCGGAUAAUAUAUUGAACCGCAUGGUUCAAUAGUGAAGGACGGUUUUGCUGUCACUUAUAGAUGGAUCCGCGCCGCAUUAGCUAGUUGGUAAGGUAGCGGCUUACCAAGGCGACGAUGCGUAGCCGACCUGAGAGGGUGAUCGGCCACACUGGAACUGAGACACGGUCCAGACUCCUACGGGAGGCAGCAGUAGGGAAUCUUCCGCAAUGGGCGAAAGCCUGACGGAGCAACGCCGCGUGAGUGAUGAAGGUCUUCGGAUCGUAAAACUCUGUUAUUAGGGAAGAACAAAUGUGUAAGUAACUAUGCACGUCUUGACGGUACCUAAUCAGAAAGCCACGGCUAACUACGUG
rnacentral:rRNA from 1 species